UUUGGUAGCUGAACAACAUUGCAUGUUAUGUUUGUGGACUCUACACUCUUGACUUCCAAAAGGCAGCAAGAUGAUAAAAAUCUCUUAGAACCCAUUAGUUUUCUCAAGGAUUUGGCACUAAAAGAGACUAUUUGCACUUGGAGUUUUAGUUGCAGACUUGGAGUUCGAUUCGCAUCAAAAGAUUUGAAGGCUAUACAGCUGCUACAAGUGCCAGAACAAGAAAUUUCAGAAUGAGGGAGAAAGGUUGAAUACUGGUGAUGAACUUGAUUGGCGAUGUAAAAGGAAAAGUUGCUGAUGGUGGAUGAUAUGAUCGACACUGCUGGCAAUGAACACACUGUGAUUAUAUUAAAGAGGUGACUAUAGCAGGCAAUGGACAACUGACUAUAUUAAGGAGCUGUAAAGUACCCGGCCACUGUAUGAUAUAGAAAACAGCCAAAGUUGACAGAAAGAAAGAGAAGACAAAUGUACAAAUGAGCCUCCUAUAUUAGUUCUGAUGCCAUUGAAGAAACUCCAGAAGACAUUGAGGGUGUGGAGCUCCUCAAACUUCAAGCUCCUUAGACUCCAAUGAGGCCAUGAGAGUAGCAAAGCUAGACACUCUUAAGUAAAUUUCUCGAUGUAUUAUUAGAUGUACUCCUUUUGUGGACAAAAGAUUAUCUUUGCACAAUCCAUUUUGGUGCAUGAUGUGGAUUAUAACAAUUUUUUCUA